CAAUGGGGACUCGCGGGGGGGACCGCAGUCCACCAAUCGGAGCUGUCCAGGUGCGGUGCCCGAUGCCCGAAGCGUGGCUCCUUCCGAUUGGUCAUCCAUAGCUGCUACUCUCCAAUCAAAGGGCUCCGCGGGCCCCUUUCACGCGGGACCGCCCCUUUGCCUGGGAAGCUUUGGCCUCUUUGGGAAACCGUCCAAUUAACGUCAGCCCAGAACACAUCCCUCUUUUUGGAGAGGUCACAGCGAAACCACUUCCGGAUCCUAGAGAGCGUUUAUUCCGUGACCAGGGGAAACGGUAGCCAUGGCAACGCGUUCUUCAUCUUUCCUCUGACUACACGUGGAGUCACGUUGGGAGGAUUCCAGUGCGAAUUUUCUCAAUGAACAAAUGAAAGCUGCUGUAUGACACUUAACUCACUUGAUGUCAUCAUCAGCGUGGGACCAUUUCAAGAUCUGAACCCAGGUCCUUCUGACUCCAAAAUCCCUGCUCGUUCUCCUUCACCCUGACUACUCAGAAGAAUGAAUUCUCUUCCAGCUUCCAAGUCUAUUUUGCUCUUGGGAAGUCCACUCUGAUUGCCGACUGGGUGAAUCACUUCAGAAGAAACAAAUAGCUGAGCAUGUUGGUCAUUCAUUUUGUGGGCAGCACCUGUGAAAGCAUGACAUCAUGUCCGUGAUACAGUCCUUCAUCACUGAAUUACAGUAUAAAAACUAUGUGCUGGAAUGCAGGCUUUCGGAGGUUACUGCCACAGACAAACGCCAAUUAAUGUUCUUCACUGGAAGAUUUUUGAAGCUUAUGGGCAAGACCAAUGAAACUGAAGAGUUGUUCUUGAGUGUUGAGAAC